rnacentral:tRNA from 1 species
GUUCUUGUAGUUGAAUAACAACGAUGGUUUUUCAAGCCGUUAGUCCCGGUUAAAAUCCGGGCAGGAAUU